rnacentral:rRNA from 1 species
UACGUAGGGUGCAAGCGUUGUCCGGAAUUAUUGGGCGUAAAGAGCUCGUAGGCGGUCGUGUUGCGUCGGCUGUGAAAACCCGGGGCUCAACUCCGGGCCUGCAGCCGAUACGGGCAGACUAGAGUUCGGCAGGGGAGACUGGAAUUCCUGGUGUAGCGGUGAAAUGCGUAGAGAUCGGGAGGAACACCAGAGGCGAAAGCGGCGACCUGGGCAGGUACUGACACUCAACUACGAAAGCGUGGGGAGCAAACAGG